rnacentral:lncRNA from 1 species
CAUUUUCAAACCAGUUUGAAUAACAAUAUGAAUCACCACCAAUUAGCUGAAUAUUACAGAAAUAUCUCAAAACUCACAUUCUACAAAUUUCCAUCACAACCGUAUUUUAUACAGAUCCAAGCAACCUACAACAUUAUGUAUUCAAGCAUUCAGCUGCUGAAAUACUCUAGAACAGGAAAGAAUAAAUAGAACUAUCUAGUGCUUCACAACAUGAAAACAUGUAGUCUGCUUCUUCAAGUACUGAUUCUUCCUUAGCAAUGACUGGUUCUUCAAGUACUGCUUCUUCCUUAGCAAUGACAGGCUGAUGCAAAACAUCUGGGCAUUCAAAAGAGAACAAAAAGUAUGUCACUGAUAUAAGAAAUAUUACAUGAAUACUUUUAAAAUAAAAACUGAAGGCACAUGAGAUGGAAACAAGUAAUUUGAGAUGGAAAGUUAGUCAACAGAAUUUAUAUAAAAGAUCUUUUUGCAUUACAAUUAUCUUAUGUACAUAUGAAUGACACCCAAGUAAUUUGAGAUGGAAACAAGUACAUCUAGCAAUCUAAGAUGUAUAGUGGCACCAGCAAAGGAGCACGACACGGAAGAAUUUUAGCUUUACAUAAUGUUUACAAGAACAGGUCCCUGAUACAGGAUUUAGCUUGUCCUCAACACUGUUAACAAGGUACUGAAAGUAGCUAUGUGCAUCAGCCUCACCAAGUCUUAUCAUGAAUUGGUUGCUUUUAAAAACUAUACUAUAUUUCUGGACAGCAAACUAAAUAGAUGGAUGCUCUCAAACCGUACAUCCAAACAAAGCAAAUAAGUACUCUACGAAAACCUUAGAACAUGCUUUACAACUCAUAUGUAGAGGCUAACUUGAAAUUAUGAGCAUAACAAACUCGUUUUUCAGUUAGAAGCUCGCUGUCCAAAACUGUCAGGUAGUGUAGUUUUUUAACUGAACCAAAUUCAGUUUACACAGAGGUAAGGAACUACUUCAAAAACUUAGGUAAGUAAGGAACUACUUCAAAAACAGAGGUGCUAACUAUGUUUACACAGAAAAACUGUACUAUAUUUUUGGACAGCAAACUAAAAUAGACGGCUGCUCUCAAACUGUACAUCCAAACGAAGCAAAUAAGUACUCUACGGAAACCUUAGAACAUGCUUUACAACUCAUAUGUAGAGGUUAACUUGAAAUUAUGAGCAUAACUAACUCGUUUUUCAGUUAGAAGCUCGCUGCCCAAAACUGUCAGGUAGUGCAGUUUUUGAACUGAACCAAAUUCAGUUGACACAGAGGUAAGUAAUGAACUACUUCAAAAAUAGAGGUAAGUAAGGAAUUACUUCAAAAACAGAGGUGCUAACUAUGUUUACACAGAAAAACGAGUACGGUAUCUAUUUGCCAAACUUGUAGUAGCUAAGAAUUCAUUCCUCACAGAGAAAAUGAACUGACUGAGACUAUGAUAUGAUUGUCGGCGGCCUAUGUUUACGGUAUCCUAUUAACACAGCAUAAAGAAAAAAGAGCAUGUCCCGUCGUCAUUAGAUUAAAUUUCUACUAGUACACAGUGCUAGAAUCAUAUGACCUAAAUACACACGACCUAAAUAAAUCCCAAUCGAACCAAAUCAUGCAACAGAACCAAUCAUGGCGGGGCUCACAGCAUCAAAACAGAAAACACUAGAAUCCCAGCCACCGGGGCACCAGAGCUGUAGAAUUAACCUGUAUGUGCCCAUGGCCAUCUCUACGGCGCGUUUGCUGACGGCCGUCUCGAAGUGUUCAAUCUCAUCCACAAGAAACGCGUGCCUGAAGCAUACUGCCAGGCAAUGCUUGUGUGGCCUCGAGCUCGGAGGAAACCCUUCUCAGAUACUUCCUUGUUAACUUCACUGACUGGAUUUUGAUCUGCAGAAUCAAGACACUGGACUUUUCAAGCAAUGUUGUUUUUGUUCAGAGAAAAUAGUGGUGACUGCCACUUGCAGAUUAUUAACAGGCACAGGCCCAUGCUCAGUUUACAGGGCCUAUUUAUUCAGCUAAUUUACAGAUCAGUUGUGUACUGUCUACAAAAAUAAACAUUUUGGUACCCCAAAGUUGCAGAUCAUGUAUGAUUGCCUAGUUAGGAGCAGAAUUCCAAUGGAGAUAAUGCACAUGUAGCAGGUACGUGAAGGACAUCUAGUGCAUUCCAUUUGCCUUAAUCUUAAAUCGCGGUUUUGUAAUGCAGAUGCUUUGCAGCUUGGUCAUAGCAAAUAGUGUUGUCCAUUACUGAAACACAGGCUGGAGUUGGGCAUAAAGACCGAAACACAAGCCCAUUUUCCGGUAUUUUUUGGAAUAGGUCAUUCCUGGUUUCUAGUUUAUACGUAUGUAGGUGCCAUCUCCACUGAAGAUGGUUCAAACUACUACUCCAGUACAUACUAAUAAAACUUGACACAGGCUAGUUCAAACUACAUACUAAUAAAACUAG